UGCGUAGGCGGCGCGGAAAGUUGGGUGUGAAAUCCCUCGGCUCAACCGAGGAAUUGCGCCCAAAACUUCCGUGCUCGAGGAAGAUAGAGGUGAGCGGAACUUAGGGUGGAGCGGUGAAAUGCGUUGAUAUCCUAAGGAACACCGGUGGCGAAAGCGGCUCACUGGACCUUUUCUGACGCUGAGGCACGAAAGCUAGGGUAGCGAACG
rnacentral:rRNA from 1 species